CUUCAGCGAGCCGAGCCAGAGGGGGCGGUCGGCGGAACGUUCCUGCCCGUAGGUGGCGAGGAGCGCCUGCGCCUC
rfam:Streptomyces albireticuli strain MDJK11, complete genome.